AAUAGAUACCCCGGUAGUCCAUGCCGUAAACGAUGUCUACUAGCCGUUGGGGCCUUUGAGGCUUUAGUGGCGCAGCUAACGCGAUAAGUAGACCGCCUGGGGAGUACGGUCGCAAGACUAAAACUCAAAUGAAUUGACGGGGGCCCGCACAAGCGGUGGAGCAUGUGGUUUAAUUCGAUGCAACGCGAAGAACCUUACCUGGCCUUGACAUAGUAGAAACUUUCCAGAGAUGGAUUGGUGCCUUCGGGAAUCUACAUACAGGUGCUGCAUGGCUGUCGUCAGCUCGUGUCGUGAGAUGUUGGGUUAAGUCCCGCAACGAGCGCAACCCUUUUCCUUGCUUGCCAGCAUUUCGGAUGGGAACUUUAAGGAUACUGCCAGUGACAAACUGGAGGAAGGCGGGGACGACGUCAAGUCAUCAUGGCCCUUACGGCCAGGGCUACACACGUGCUACAAUGGUCGGUACAAAGGGUUGCUACCGUAGCGAUAGGAUGCUAAUCUCAAAAAGCCGAUCGUAGUCCGGA
rnacentral:rRNA from 1 species